rnacentral:rRNA from 1 species
GACGAACGCUGGCGGCGUGCCUAAUACAUGCAAGUCGAGCGAAGUUUUUCUGGUGCUUGCACUAGAAAAACUUAGCGGCGAACGGGUGAGUAACACGUAAAGAACCUGCCUCAUAGACUGGGACAACUAUUUGAAACGAUAGCUAAUACCGGAUAACAGUAUUUCUCGCAUGAGAGAUAUUUAAAAGUUGGUUAUGCUAACACUAUGAGAUGGCUUUGCGGUGCAUUAGCUAGUUGGUGGGGUAAAGGCCCACCAAGGCGACGAUGCAUAGCCGACCUGAGAGGGUGAUCGGCCACACUGGGACUGAGACACGGCCCAGACUCCUACGGGAGGCAGCAGUAGGGAAUCUUCCGCAAUGGGCGAAAGCCUGACGGAGCAACGCCGCGUGAGUGAAGAAGGAUUUCGGUUCGUAAAGCUCUGUUGUUAGGGAAGAAUGGAUAUGUAGUAACUAUACAUGUAAGAGACGGUACCUAACCAGAAAGCCACGGCUAACUACGUG